rnacentral:rRNA from 1 species
CCUACGGGUGGCAGCAGUGGGGAAUAUUGCACAAUGGGGGAAACUCUGAUGCAGCGACGCCGCGUGAGUGAAGAAGUAUUUCGGUAUGUAAAACUCUAUCAGCAGGGAAGAAAAUGACGGUACCUGAUUAAGAAGCCCCGGCUAACUACGUGCCAGCAGCCGCGGUACUACGUAGGGGGCAAGCGUUAUCCGGAUUUACUGGGUGUAAUGGGAGCGUAGACGGCAGCACAAGUCUGGAGUGAAAUGCCGGGGCUUAACCCCGGAACUGCUUUGGAGACUGUGCAGCUAGAGCGCAGGAGAGGUAAGUGGAAUUCCUAGUGUAGCGGUGAAAUGCGUAGAUAUUAGGAGGAACACCAGUGGCGAAGGCGGCUUACUGGACUGUAACUGACGUUGAGGCUCGAAAGCGUGGGGAGCAAACAGGAUUAGAUACCCCUGUAGUC